rnacentral:misc_RNA from 1 species
GAUGAAGAACGUAGCGAAAUGCGAUAAGUAAUGUGAAUUGCAGAAUUCAGUGAAUCAUCGAAUAUUUGAACGCACAUUGCGCCCGCCAGCAUUCUGGCGGGCAUGCCUGUUCGAGCGUCAUUUCAACCCUCGAGCCCCCCCCGGGGGCCUCGGUGUUGGGGGACGGCACACCAGCCGCCCCCGAAAUGCAGUGGCGACCCCGCCGCAGCCUCCCCUGCGUAGUAGCACACACCUCGCACCGGAGCGCGGAGGCGGUCACGCCGUAAAACGCCCAACUUUCUUAGAGUUGACCUCGGAUCAGGUAGGAAUACCCGCUGAACUUAAGCAUAUCAAUAAGCGGAGGA